rnacentral:rRNA from 1 species
CUUAUUGAUAAUAAUUUUAAGUCUGAUCUGCCCAAUGAAUUAUUUAAUGGCUGCAGUAUUUUGACUGUACAAAGGUAGCAUAAUAAUUAGUUUUUUAAUUGAAGACUGGAAUGAAUGAUUUGACGAGAUAAUAUCUGUCUUAAUUUAAGUUAAAGAAUUUUAUUUUUAAGUUAAAAAGCUUAAAUAUUUUUAAAAGACGAGAAGACCCUAUAGAAUUUUAUAUGAAGGUAUUAUUUUAUAAUUAGUAAUUAGUAAUAAUAAUAUUUUUAUAUUUGGUUGGGGUGAUUUUAAAAUUAGCAUAACUUUUAUUAAAAAAGGUACAUUGAUUUAUGAAUGCUUGAUCCAAUUAUUUUGAUUAUAAGAUUAAAUUACCUUAGGGAUAACAGCGUAAUUUUUUUGGAAAGUACUAAUUAAUAAAAAAGAUUGCGACCUCGAUGUUGGAUUAAAAUUAAUAUUUGGUGUAGAAGCUUUAUAUAUUAGGUCUGUUCGACCUUUAAAAUUUUACA